CUUUAAUGGAGAGUUUGAUCCUGGCUCAGGACGAACGCUGGCGGCGUGCCUAACACAUGCAAGUCGAACGGUCUAAUACUCAACACUGAGUGUUCAGCCAAGCGCAUAAGCUGCGAAGCAGCUUUACGCAUUAAAAGAGUGACUAAUAAGCUGAAUGUUGAGUGUUGAGUGUUAGAUAGUGGCGAACGGGUGAGUAACGCGUAGAUAAUCUGCCUCAAAGAUGGGGACAACACUUGGAAACGA
rnacentral:rRNA from 1 species